rnacentral:rRNA from 1 species
UAUACUGUCUCCCCCCUCUAAUCAGUGAAACUGAUCCCCUCGUGAAGAAGCGAGGAUAACCUCAUAAGACGAGAAGACCCCAUGGAACUUUAAACUAGUACCACCUCACAACUAAGACCACAUGACUACUAGUCUUUCGGCUGGGGCGACCACGGGGAAAAACAAAACCCCCACGAUGAAAGGAAAUAUCCUUAUCCUAGACCCACCUCUCCAAGAAUCAAUAAAUGACAUUUUUGACCCAACACUUGAUCAACGAACCAAGCUACCCUGGGGAUAACAGCGCAAUCCAUUUCAAGAGACCUCAUCGACAAAUGGGCUUACGACCUCGAUGUUGGAUC